AGAAAGCAUAUAAAUAUUAGUAUUUUUUUAUAGACCUUAUGGAAUAUUUACUCUAUUAAGACGUGGUUAUAAGUCAAUCUAAGGCGCGGGAAGAUAAUACUGUCUUCAGUGACUCAACACACAUUGAACGUAAUCUAACAUGGAUAUUAAUCAAUAUAUAAGCUCGGUGCAAACAUCUCAAUGUGAAAUUGGGCAAAUUAAACAAGAAAUUGCUGUGCUCGAGGAUAAAUUGAGACAGACAACUGAUAUACUCGAUCGAAAUAGGAUUCAGAACCAGAUAAGGAAAUUAAAUGAAAGGAUUAAUGUAGUUCAGAAGAAUAUAAAAUUACAUGGGGAUCUCUAUCAAGCUCAAUUAAAUUCGAAAAUGAUGAAUCAACUACUUCGCUGAAGAAUAUGGAACCUUGAAAGGUGCACUGUGCUGGAAAAAAAUUUGAGCCCAACUUCAACAAAAGGACGCAACAAAGAAAAAUAAACUGUAAUAUCCUAUAUUCAUACUAAUUACAUUUCAUGGAAAAAAUGUAUAGAUUUACAUGAAAGCUAAAGUUAAAACUGUUUUAUAAUGAGAUUGAAAUAAAAAUAUUUUAUUAUGUAUACCCUCAACAA